GGAAUAUUGGACAAUGGGUGAGAGCCUGAUCCAGCCAUCCCGCGUGAAGGACGACGGUUCUAUGGAUUGUAAACUUCUUUUAUAUAGGGAUAAACCUUUCUACGUGUAGAAAGCUGAAGGUACUAUAUGAAUAAGCACCGGCUAACUCCGUGCCAGCAGCCGCGGUAAUACGGAGGGUGCAAGCGUUAUCCGGAUUUAUUGGGUUUAAAGGGUCCGUAGGCGGAUCUGUAAGUCAGUGGUGAAAUCUCAUAGCUUAACUAUGAAACUGCCAUUGAUACUGCAGGUCUUGAGUAAAGUAGAAGUGGCUGGAAUAAGUAGUGUAGCGGUGAAAUGCAUAGAUAUUACUUAGAACACCAAUUGCGAAGGCAGGUCACUAUGUUUUAACUGACGCUGAUGGACGAAAGCGUGGGGAGCGAACA
rnacentral:rRNA from 1 species